CCCGUCGCUCCUCCUGGCCCAUCUCGCUGCCGGCGACCCAGCCCUCGCUCAUCUUCCUCCUCGCGCGAGCGCCGCCACCGCCACCGCCACCGCCGGUUGAUCUCCCCUACGAUUCUCUCCCUCCCGACCGUUUCUCCUUCCGUCAUCCCACUAACGGAUUCCGCCCUUUAGCUUCCCGUUUCAUUUCCUUUAAUCUUCCCCAAUUCGUAACCGAGGCAAAUAUCAAGGUAGGGCUUCCUCCGCCCGUGGUGCCAUAACCGAGGCAAAUAUCAAGGUAGGGCUUCCUCCGCCCGUGGUGCCAUGGCUGCGCAUUACCAAGCCACUACCCUGAUUGCUUCCCCGUCCUAUCCAAAUGCAAUUGCUUGGUCGAGUGAGAACUUGGUGGCUGUUGCCUCCGGUCACGUCAUCACUAUCCUGAACCCAGCAUCACUUGAUGGGCCUCGUGGAAUUGCUUUACUUCGCCCUAGCGAUCCUUUCCCCAUAGGGGUGGUUAACAGAGACGAUCUCUUUGAACCAUGUUUAGUGCCAACAUCCUUGGCCCGUGAUACCGAACCAUGUGCACGGUCAAUUUCAUGGUCUCAACAAGGAUUUGCUCCUAAUGCUAGUUGUUUGCUGGCUGUCUGUACUGUUGAUGGCCAUGUGAAUCUUUACCGUCCGCCAGUUUAUGAACUUUGUGAUGACUGGGUUAAGGUUGCGGAUAUAUCUCAGUUGUUGUUUAAUUAUUACCAAGAUAUAAACUUUGGAGAGGAUGAUGGUCCGGAUUUGUUUCAGCAGGAGGAGUUAAAUAAUGAGCACACACACGGCACAGGAUAUGCUGGUGAGUUACAAGAACCUCUUUCCUCCAGAGGUCCUGGACCUGGACGGAGAAAAAGGAAACCAGCAAGGGUUGAAAGCUAUGUUUAUAAUGAGGAUCAAGAUGAUUUAGGUGCUUCAGAGGAUGCAGACUUUUCACUGAACCCAUGCUCUAAGACAAUGAAGAGAUCCAUGAAAAAGAUCGUCAAGCCUGUACAUGAAAUGGCUGUCGUAAUCAGGCAAGGCGUCUCACAAAAUACCAAAGAACCACUUUCUUGCAAUGGAGAGAACAAACUUCUUCCUCAUAUCACAGCAAAACAAUAUGCAUAUCGCAAUGCAGUUUUGUCUUCACUCGUAGUUGCAUGGUCUCCAGUUUUGCUGGCACAUGAUGCUUCCCGUUGGUGCAUUCUUGCUGUUGGUUCGAAGUCUGGGGAUGUUUCAUUUUGGAAAAUACAUAAGCCCGUGUACUACACAAUAGAUGUUUGCACUGUUUACAGAGAUCCAAUACUCAUUGGAGUUCUCCAAGCUCAUAAUUCAUGGGUUAGUGCCAUGAGCUGGGAAGUUUUCUCUGCAAGCUCCUCAAAGUGCUCAUUGCUUUUAGCAACUGGAUGCACAGAUGGAAGUGUGAAGAUAUGGUCAGGUGAUAUCAAAGAAUUAAAUCAAUGUACAGAUGUAAAAGGAGUUCCAUUUUCAUUAGUGACAGAGGUCACCACUAUUUCGUCAGCUCCAGUCUCGUCAAUUUCAUCGUCUCUACCAGCUCAGCCUCAGUAUGAGCUCAAUUUGGCAGUCGGGAGAGUAUCUGGGUCACUGGAAACAUGGACAUUUGAUCUAUGCACCAACAUAAUUAAGAACAGCAGUGCAUGUCAUGCACAUGACCGAGUGGUGACUGGUUUAUCAUGGGGGUUGGAUGGCCACUGUUUAUACAGCUGCAGUCAGGAUAAUUCUGCACGCUGUUGGAUCUUUGAAAAAAAUCACCUUCAAGAAAUUCCUCUGCACACAAAUUUCCUGGAGCAAAAAGAAUCAACAAAUCUAUCAGAAGUAUCUGAUCGAUGCUAUGGUCUUACACCUGCACCUGGAGAACUAAUGAUUGCUGUGGUCCGCAGCUUGGAUCCGAAUAUGUUAGAUCAGAUGUAUCAAGCCAGGACACAAAAGGCAGUGGUAGAGUUUAUUUGGAUUGGUGGUCAGUUCCUUGGUAUCCCACUAGACAAGAGCAUUCAUAUCUGCAGUCAACAAUCUGCAAUGUUAUCUGUGACUAACUUAUUAUGGUGGGGAUCCAACAUUUUUUGGUCAUUGAAGAAAUAUGAAAAAAGUCAAACAGGACUUGUCUUAUGGGAUGUCAUAGCUGCACUACAAGUGAUCAAGAAAUAUGCACCAACAUUUCUGGAGAUCAUACUAAAUAAAUGGAUUUCAGAUGACCAACAUUGUGUUUCUGUCGAUAUCCCAUAUGAGUCUAUAAAUGACAUGAUCUCCAAGGCCAGCUCGCGGAAGCUUCACUUGCUGAAUAUUAUCUGUAGAAAAGUAAUGCUUAGCAGUCAUUCAACUGAUUUAUGGAACAAUCUUCUAGCAAGCAGUGAAAGAGAGCUACGAGAGAGGCUUGUGGCUUUCACUUUUUCUGCUGUCUUGAGUCGAACUUCGUAUUUUCUCAAGGGCUCACAAAACAGGUGGUUUCCUGUUGGAGUUGCCCAGAUGGAUUCUUGGGUAUCUAUGAAUAGUGGAGUGUGUAAUCAACUCAAGUCUCUCAGUUCGGCUAUCAAAGAUCUAGGAAGAAGGAUCGACUCUGUGUGUGAAUACUCAGUUGACGAAACCUGUGCCUAUUGCUCUGCACCAGUUCACUUUGAGUCACCUGAUGUAGCCUUGUGUGGAGGUGUUGAUCCUUCUAUUGCUCCAGCUGAAAGGCACAAGUUGUCAAGAUGCACAGCAUCGAUGCGUUUGUGCUCUGUUCUGCAACCAAUCUGGUAUUGUGCAUGUUGUGGAGGAAUGGUUGACAAGCUGGUACCUGAGACCUUCUUCACCAUGAUGACAUCCCCUUUGGGUGGCAAUCAUGAUGAGGAAUCGCUUUAUUCAGCACCUGCUGUUCCACUUUGCCCUUUCUGCGGCAUACUGCUGCAGAGGUUGACGCCUGAGUUCCUGCUCUCUAUCUCCCCAGUAUAGAAGCUAGUGGUGGGACUUCGCUGCCAAAGUGCAUGUCAAAUUCUUUGUCUUUUGCAGCAUUGUGCGUUUGUUCUUUAUAGAGGUUGUACAUAGUCCUGUCAAAAAGGAUUUUGAGAUAAGUUUUUACGGGAUAUGGAACCAUGGAAAUGAACGUCAUCCCCAGGAUACCAUAAUCUAUCUUUGGGAUGCUUUUUGGGAGUGACUGCUGAAGAUUAUGUUGCUCAGCCUGCACUGGCAUCUGUAGCUUCAGUAGAGAUUAAGAAUCAGAUUGUCCAGAGCAAGAAAAAGGGUUCAAGAGAAGAUAAAAGUGCAUAAUCAUCACGUCCUGAUGUGGAGGAACAUAGAUUGGUAACUCUUUCUCGUGCUAUAAUGCAAACAUCUCCUUGCAAUAGGACUUCCUGGCAAGUACUAACUCUAUCUAAUUGAAAGUCUUAUCUCCUAAUAUAUCUCGACUUCCAAAUUUAAGCCUAACUUAUAUAGACCAAUUUCAAAAUUCAUGAAAAAUUGGUAUAGAAUCCUUGCUCAGUGAAGUUCCUCUAUUGGUCUACUUUCAAGAAUGUAUUGCAUUUUUGCAUGUGUAUGGACCUCAACCAACAGUACACAUGGUUUAGUGGUUAAGGAAUCAACAAAUGCAGAAAGCUUAUCUUCUUACAAAUGAAAUUAUACAUGAAACUGCACUUAGCCAUGGUCCAUGGGUCUACUGAGACUUGUUUUUAAAAACCGUUUGCAAUACUUCUACAUAACCACACCUAUAUGUUGACACCUUGCAUGUUGGUCCUUAAUCUGGACGUCUGUCUCAUCCGAAAUGGAGUCGCCCGUGAUGCCACACAGCAAUAAAUGGCAUGACCAUGGGAGGGAAGGUGAAAGUGAAGAGAUGCUUCGGCGUUUUCCAUCCCUUCCUGUCUGCUCCCUAAGCAAAGGAUAGCUGUCCGUGAUCCUGUCAUAAUCUGAGUUGUUUGCUCUCAGAACUCAAUCGCCACUAAGUGAUGAUAUUAAAGGAACGCAGUGCUAAUAGUGCUAAUAUCUCUAUUCUUGCUAUCACUGUAUCUCUUGCCCACCUAAUUGCCUCUAGACCAAAAUUUAGGAUGCCUGGAGGAUCAGUGCGCAAGGGGCAGAAAUGACAGAAGAAUGCGAUCAAUGGAGGGUGCUGUUGGAUGGGAUGGCAGAACAUCAGCCACACCGGCUGGAAGAGCGCCAACACCAACAGUAUGGCUGAGCCGUGGAAGGAUUUGACAGAACAAGGUGGACAAUUUCAACCCGUUUUCUAUUUCAGGGCAUUAUUGAACGCUGAACUAAGAAAAAUUCUGAGAUAUGAGGAAACACUAACACAUUGGAGCAAUCCGAGAUACUUGAAGUCUUGAACAGCAUGAAGUCUGAAGCUACUUAAAGUCCGGAAGGAUGCACUGGUUCACGCACAUUGAAAAACUUCUCUGACAAGAUGAGCAUGUUUACUCCUUCCCCAAAUUUUGAGUAAAUGUGAGGAAAGGCUUAACGUGUCUGUUUUCUAGAGCCGAGUUCGAAAGCAAAAGCAGAAAACACCCUGAUGGUAUCUUUUCUCAAGGGAGUGAUCAUGCCCAGGCUGUGGAAUCGAGAGAAAAUAAAUCAAUCAGUGGAAUGCACUCUUAAGAUGGAACUGCCGUAGGAAGCAAUAUAUAAAGUCAGCGCGUUGUAGACAAAUACGGAAAAACAAUAUCUCACCCAAGCUGGGUCACCACGAUCUCAUUUGUUGUGUAAUACAGUGUGACUGAGAACAACUUGUUUUCAACAUUCCAAUCUUGAAUGAACUCGAGGAGAACCAUGUUAAACAUCGCAAUGCCCGUGUGGGGGGUCUGCA